AAAUGCGGCCACCACAAAGAUGAGGAUGUAGUACCGUAUCAAAGGCUUUGGAGAAGUCGAUAAAAAGUGCAUCGAUUUGAUUGCCCUGGUCUAAAUGAUACGCAAUGUCGUGGGUGAAUUCGGUCAAUUGCGUGACGGUGCUGAAACCACUUCUGAAGCCAUGCUGUGCAUUAGUUAAAAUAUGGUUUGACUCGAGAAAAUCCAUUAUGUGCUUGUAGAUUAUAUGCUCUAGCAUUUUGCAUGAAUAGGGAGUUAAAGAAAUGGGUCUAUAAUUAGUUAUGUCGGACUUGCUACCUGAUUUAUACAAAGGUAUUACUCUUGCAAGCUUCCAAGAUGAAGGAACGGUACUAGUUUCUAAAGAUUUCUUAAAUAUAAUAACAAGGUAACGAGAGGUCCAUUGAGAAUAACGCAGUAAAAAAGAGUUCGGAACAUCAUCUGAGCCACUAGCUUUUUUGGUGUCU
rnacentral:lncRNA from 1 species